rnacentral:rRNA from 1 species
AAAGUCUGAUGGAGCAACGCCGCGUGAGUGAUGAAGGUUUUCGGAUCGUAAAACUCUGUUGUAAGGGAAGAACCAGUACGUCAGGCAAUGGACGUACCUUGACGGUACCUUAUUAGAAAGCCACGGCUAACUACGUGCCAGCAGCCGCGGUAAUACGUAGGUGGCAAGCGUUGUCCGGAAUUACUGGGCGUAAAGGGCGCGUAGGCGGAUCGUUAAGUCAGAGGUGAAAUCCCAGGGCUCAACCCUGGAACUGCCUUUGAUACUGGCGAUCUUGAGUAUGAGAGAGGUAUGUGGAACUCCGAGUGUAGAGGUGAAAUUCGUAGAUAUUCGGAAGAACACCAGUGGCGAAGGCGACAUACUGGCUCAUUACUGACGCUGAGGCGCGAAAGCGUGGGGAGCAAACA